rnacentral:rRNA from 1 species
UACGGAGGGUGCAAACGUUGCUCGGAAUCCUUGGGCGUAAAGCGCACGUAGGCGGUCGGCUCUGUCGGAUGUGAAAGCCUCGGGCUUAACCCGAGAAGGGCAUCCGAAACUGGCCGGCUUGAGUAUGGAAGAGGGUCUCGGAAUUCCCGGUGUAGAGGUGAAAUUCGUAGAUAUCGGGAGGAACACCAGUGGCGAAGGCGGAGACCUGGGCCGAUACUGACGCUGAGGUGCGAAAGCGUGGGGAGCGAACAGG